CUGUCUCAAGACUAAGCCAUGCAUGUCUAAGUAUAAACGCUUCUAUACUGUGAAACUGCGAAUGGCUCAUUAAAUCAGUUAUAGUUUAUUUGAUGGUUCCUUACUACUUGGAUAACCGUAGUAAUUCUAGAGCUAAUACAUGCAGAAAGUCCCGACUUCUUGGAAGGGAUGUAUUUAUUAGAUCCAAAACCAGCGCGAGUUUCCUUCGGGGGCUCGGUUGCAUGGUGAUUCAUGAUAACUGCUCGAAUCGCAUGGCCUUGCGCCGGCGAUGAUCCAUUCAAAUUUCUGCCCUAUCAACUUUCGAUGGCAAGGUAGUGGCUUGCCAUGGUGACAACGGGUGACGGAGAAUUAGGGUUCGAUUCCGGAGAGGGAGCCUGAGAAACGGCUACCACAUCCAAGGAAGGCAGCAGGCGCGCAAAUUACCCAAUCCCGACUCGGGGAGGUAGUGACAAUAAAUAACAAUGCUGGGCUAUCGUAGUCUGGCAAUUGGAAUGAGUACAAUCUAAACCCCUUAACGAGGAACAAUUGGAGGGCAAGUCUGGUGCCAGCAGCCGCGGUAAUUCCAGCUCCAAUAGCGUAUAUUAAAGUUGUUGCAGUUAAAAAGCUCGUAGUUGGAUUUCGGGGCAGCCCGGCUGGUCCGUCGCGAGGCGAGUACUGGUCGGCCGCCCUUCCUCUCGAAAGCCCCGACUGCUCUUCACUGCAGUGGUCGGGGAGUUCGGGACGUUUACUUUGAAAAAAUUAGAGUGUUCAAGGCAGGCCAUCGCCUGAAUACAUUAGCAUGGAAUAAUGGAAGAGGACCUCGGUCCUAUUUUGUUGGUUUCUAGGGCCGAAGUAAUGAUUAAGAGGGACAGUUGGGGGCAUUCGUAUUUAAUUGUCAGAGGUGAAAUUCUCGGAUUUAUGAAAGACGAACAACUGCGAAAGCAUUUGCCAAGGAUGUUUUCAUUAAUCAAGAACGAAAGUUAGGGGUUCGA
rnacentral:rRNA from 1 species